GACAGAGGGUGCAAACGUUGUUCGGAAUUACUGGGCGUAAAGCGUGUGUAGGCGGCCAUGUAAGUCAGGUGUGAAAGCCCCGGGCUUAACCUGGGAAUGGCAUUGGAAACUGGCUCGCUGGAGUGUGGCAGAGGGGGGUGGAAUUCCGCGUGUAGCAGUGAAAUGCGUAGAGAUGCGGAGGAACACCGAUGGCGAAGGCAGCCCCCUGGGCUAACACUGACGCUCAGGCACGAAAGCGUGGGGAGCAAACAGG
rnacentral:rRNA from 1 species